GGGCUGGGCUUCCGGCGGUUUCCGCCGCCCUUCGACGCCGGAAGCGACACAAUCAAGGGCGGAUACGCAUGUAGAUUCCUCCGGCGCUGGACCUUCGGACGCGGGUUCGACUCCCGCCGCCUCCACCA
rnacentral:tmRNA from 1 species